CACGUAGGGGGCGAGCGUUGUCCGGAUUUAUUGGGCGUAAAGAGCUCGUAGGCGGCUAAGUAAGUCGGGUGUGAAAACUCCAGGCUCAACCUGGAGACGCCACCCGAUACUGCUUUGGCUAGAGUCCGGUAGGGGAGCAUGGAAUUCCUGGUGUAGCGGUGAAAUGCGCAGAUAUCAGGAGGAACACCAGUGGCGAAGGCGGUGCUCUGGGCCGGAACUGACGCUGAGGAGCGAAAGCGUGGGGAGCGAACAGG
rnacentral:rRNA from 1 species